rnacentral:rRNA from 1 species
GGGUUGGGGGUUAUUUGAUUUUUAAUUUUUUUGUGACUAAAAUAAGAAUAUUAAUGUUUUAUUAUUUUUUUGAAAUAAUUGAUUUUAUAAUAGUGAAUUAGUACCGUGAGGGGGCCUCUUUAUCUUUUUUAAAGAAGAUUUUAUUUUUUGUACCUUGUGUAUCAGGGAUUAUUCAUUUAUAUUUAUAUAUUUUAAUAUUCCCGAAUUCAGAAGAGCUAAUUAGUUAUGGAUUUUAUCGUGGAAUAGAUAUUUUAAAUGAUUAAUUUGAAGUUAAACGUUAUUCGUUUCUGAAUAUAUCUGGUUUUUUUAGAAACAGAUUUAAUCUGCUCCAUUUUUUGCAAUAUUUCUAUUUUUAGAUCGUAUUGUGUUAAUGGGGCCAUAUUCUUGGGGAUGAGCUCGAGGAUAAACACCUAUAAACUUAUUAUUAUUCAAAUUAAAUAGGAUUAGAAGUUUCCAUUUUUUAGAAAAUGUUAUAAUUUAUUUUGUUGAAAAAUAGGAUUAGAAGUUUCCAUUUUUUAGAAAAUGUUAUAAUUUAUUUUGUUGAAAUUUUUAUUUUUAUAAUUAUUUAGGUUUAAUAUAAAAUUAUUUUCUUUAAUAUGUUAAGUUAAGUAAUAAUGAUAAUAUUAGUAUAUUUGUUGGUAUAAAUCAAUUCUUUUUCUAGAUUAAUAAAAGGAACUCGGCAAAUUAUUUUUCACCUGUUUAUUAAAAACAUGUCCUUUUGAUUAUAAUUUAAGGUCUGUCCUGCCCGCUGAAUUUUUGAAUGGCCGCGGUAUUCUGACCGUGCAAAGGUAGCAUAAUAAUUAGUUUUUUAAUUGAAAGCUGGAAUGAAUGGUCGGAUGAAAUUAUGACUGUCUCUUAUUAAUUAUGUAGAAAUUUAUUUUUAGGUAAAAAGGCCUAAAUUUUAUUAAAAGACGAGAAGACCCUAUAGAGUUUUAUAAUGUUUGAGGUUAAUUUUUUUUAGUAUUUUAAUUUUUAAUUUUAUUUCUUAUUUAGUUGGGGUGACUGUAAGAUUAAAUAAACUCUUUUUUUUAUUUUUCACGGAUAGGUGAUUAGCUGAUCCUCUUAUUGCGAUUAUAAGAUAAAAUUACCUUAGGGAUAACAGCGUUAUUUUUCUUGAGAGUUCAAAUCGAAAGGGAAGUUUGCGACCUCGAUGUUGGAUUAAAGUUAAUUUUUGGUGCAGAAGCUGAGAAUUUUGGUCUGUUCGACCAUUGAAACUUUACAUGAUCUGAGUUUAGACCGGCGUGAGCCAGGUUGGUUUCUAUCUUUAACACAUAUAAAUACUUUAGUACGAAAGGACCAAGUAUUGAAUAUAUUAUUUUUUUGUUGAAUUUUACU